GCUUUGCUCUUACUCAGUGCUGAGAUCCACCUGCUCCCCAGCUCCUCAGGCUGGGUCUGCCGCUGCACUAAUGAUUUAGCCAGGCUGGUCAUGGAAGUUUUGGAGGGCUGAAAUGCACAGAACAGGGCAGGACAUCCAGUGAGAACCACCAUGAGGAACAAACAGUGGGUCCAGAAUAUUUUCUUCUGCCUUUUAUUCCAGUACACUGUGUGUUUUGAAAGCCUCACUUGUUUUGUGGACUAUGUACAGAC
rnacentral:lncRNA from 1 species